GUGAGUCACUAACAUGACUAUCAACAGAAUCAAACAGAACAUGUAUAGGUGAGUCACUAACAUGACUAUCAACAGAAUCAAACAGAACAUGUAUAGGUGAGUCACUAACAUGACUAUCAACAGAAUCAAACAGAACAUGUAUAGGUGAGUCACUAACAUGACUAUCAACAGAAUCAAACAGAACAUGUAUAGGUGAGUCACUAACAUGACUAUCAACAGAAUCAAACAGAACAUGUAUAGGUGAGUCACUAACUUGACUAUCAACAGAACCAAACAGAACAUGUAUAGGUG